AAGACACUAGACUGGAGUGUCGAAACGUUGGAUCUUGAUUACAAUUCGACUGGGCUUUGUAAUCAUUUAUUUAAACCAGAGUAGCGAGCGAAACAUGAUUGAUAUACCUGGUUGCAGUGAACGAACGAAGUUUUAAAAGUUUAAAAAAGGGUUAGGGGUUAGGGGUUAGUGGUUAGGGUUGGGGUUAGGGUUAGUGUUAGUGUUAAAAAGUUAGAUUUUCAAAAAAGUUAAAAAGUUAUAGGGUUAGUGGUUAGGGUUGGGGUUAGG
rnacentral:lncRNA from 1 species